ACUGGUUUUGUUUCUGAGACAGGGUCCAGAGCUACAUAACUCUGGCUGUCCUGGAACUCACUAUGUAGACCAGACCAGACUGGCCUUGAACCCAGAGAUCCACCUGUCUCUGCCCACCCAGAGUGUUGUCGUUGAAGGCAGUAUCGGUUCAGGUCAACACUGACAUUUAAAGACUACCUUGUGUAUCAGGUACUGUGGGAAAUACAAAGGUGAGUAGUUGUGGUGUCCAGCCCCAAGGCAUCAUGGUCCAGGAGGUGAGCCCAUGCCAGAGCACUGUAGUAGGACCAGGCUGCUGGAAGGUAUGACUGCCUCUGACUUUGAGCAGGUUCCCUAACUUGUCUCUUGCCUUGGAAGAUGGAAAUAAGCACAUCCUCCACCUCUUUGUUGAGAAGACUGGACUCGUGAACCUAUCUGAUAUAAAAUUAAUCAUUCUCGUGUCUGUGGGGCUAACACUGGUGCUUACUGAUACUAGCUGGUGCUGUGAAGAGGUUCUGAGGUGUGUUCUAAGUUCACAGCCAUUCCUGUCCCCUGUGACAAGACACUGUCCAGGCUGUUAUCUAUCACAGGCCACGUAAAAUGAGAGAUCGAGGAUGUUAUCUGUCCAGUCACUUCUCUCAGCCUGUUUCUCACAGUUCUGACGGCUGAGAAGUUCAAGAUCAAGACCCUGGCUAUCUAGAAGGCUGGUUGUUGUGUAAUAGUUUCCUCCAAGAUUAAAACAGUCCAUCCUGCAGGAAGCUCCUUAAGCAGGAAGGUGAACAACUCAAAACAGCUUCCAAAGUCCCGGGAACUGACCAGAUUCACGAGGCCCCUCCCUGCCCGAGUAUACAGUUAAAGCUGAAAUACCCCUCAGAUCUAGAGAGCUGUGCUGUAAAGUCUCAGACAAACCAAGCUGCCGAGAAAACCAGCCGUCCUGCCUGGAAGAGGUUUAGAGCAACUGAGGCACCGGGAGGGACCCUCUUCCGCCUGCUGAGCUGCCCGCAGACUGUGCAGUGGGCUGCAGGGUCCCGUCUUUGUGAGCUGUCCCCCGCCCUGGGGUGGGCCCUGGUGAUACAGCUGUCUUUGAGUCGUUUUUGCCCCAUAUUCCUGUAAGUAACUUCAAUAAAACUUACGGUUCACCAAGUUGGA